AGGUAAUUUUAAUGUAAGUUCUCUGGCACUACUUUGAGAGGUAGUUUUCUAGAUUUUCGAACGUUAACGUGCCUAUGAUUCACAUGGAGUCUUAUUAGAAUGCAGAUUCUGAUUCCCUAUUGGUUCAGGACGGGACUUGAUUUUUAGCUGUUCUAACAGGUUCCCAGGUAACAUGAACACAUAUGGCCCACUGGCAACACUUGAGGUGGAAAGCUUUUAAAAUCUAGUGCUUCAGGAGCAUCACAGAGCAGGUAUUUUUCUAGCACCAGUAUUUUUCUAAAGCUCCCAGGUGAUUCCAGUACACAGCUAGGUGGGAGGCUACAAAGCCAGUAGCCAUUGCCAGUGGAAAUAGUGGCUUCUAACUCACAGACUUUCUCCAGGCACAGAUUAAUGUACUUAUCCACACAUAUUUGUCUUCUUUGGAAAAUGAUUCCUAUAACUGUGCUCCUUACUCAAGACUCACAAACUCAGGCCAAAUCUUAUCAUCAUCAUUCAUUUAUUGAUUCAACUGUGUACCAAAACUAUUUGCAGCACUGAAGAUUCAGUGAUGAGCUGUCCAGGUGACUAAGGAAGAAUUCACUCACAGUCUAUCCUUCCUCCUUGUGAACCAGACUACUGAUGUCUGCUCUCUUGAAUUCCCUGGACAAAUUACCCAAGGACAAUGGAGAACUUGGUGAGGUUGUUUGGAGCCUGUCUGCCCAACACUGCUUCUGUAUCCAGUCAUGAAAGCUAGAGAUGCUGGAAACUUUCUCCCUUUCCAAUGGCAGAGGACUCAGAUCCACUUUGCUCUUGGACGUUCCAACUACAUCCCUGGUUUCUAUGGCAUUUGCUAGACGCUUGACUAAGGAAAAGCAGAUCACUGGCCCCCUUCUCAGAAACCAACAAUAUGCACCCAGGCCUACCUGGAGGGCACAGAUGGCUCUCCGGUGCCCUCAGAGCUGCCAGUGCUUCUGGCACGACUCCCAUGUCAUGGACCAGAUUGACCGCUACCAGGAAGCAGGAACAUGCCGGCUUUUGUCCACCAGAGGCAUUCUUCGUAGACCAAAUCCAUGGCUAACAUCAGUCUCAUGAUGUACCUCAUGCUUCCAUCCAAAACUCAGCUCAGCUCUACUGCUAUAAUGGAAGGAGACACCAGAGUCAUAUCUUUCAGCUAGCAACAGGGAAAAAUGAAAUCAGAAAACAAAGAAACAAACAAAAAACAGUAUGACAAAAAGAAAGCUGAAUAUACAAGCAGUAUGUUUACCUAGUGUCCAGGACCAAGUUGGCUUAAGCUAGGAAUGAGAAGAAGUCUUAGAUUGGCUACCAAACUGGAGGAAGAGAAGACAUCAAAGGAGAGAGCCCCAGAACCAGAGCGAGAUCAGAAGAUCCUGUAUCUUCCUGCAUUGGACAGGACCAUGAAGAUGACAACUGGAAGUUACACUAAGAAGCAUAUUUCAUACGGCGACUGGAUCCAUGUGCUCUGGAAACCAGAAGGCCAGUAAAGAGUGAAUAUUCUAUCUUUAAGUCAAGAAGCUAGACUGACACUACUUUAUUUAGCAUAUUAGUUUUCUGUUGCUGCAUAACAAACUCAGUGGCUUAAAACAAAACAAAAUUGUUAAUCUCACAAUGUUGGCAGGUCAAGAGGCUGGGAAUGGCUUAGCUAGGUCCUUGCUUGGAGUCUUCCCAGGCUGAAAUCAAGGUGUUGGCCAGGGCUCUGAUCUUAUCUGAGGCUCGGGGUCCUUUUCCAAAUUCGCUGGUUAUUGGCAGAGUUCAGUUCCUUGUGCCUCUGGAACUGAAGCAUUCAGCAGCUAGAGACCCCCACAGACCCCUGCUAUGUGACCCUCUCCAUGUCAUGGCAGUUUGUUUCUUCAAGACCAACAGGAGACUCUCUCUGAUUUCUUUUAAGGAUUCACCUGGUAAAAUCAGGCUCAGCAUAACCCCAAUUUAAAGUUAACUCCUAGGGACUUGAAUUAUAUCUAUAAAAUUUCUUCACAGCCAUACCUAGACUAUUGUUUGAAUAACUGGGAUAAUGUGUAAAUACUAGCAGUCAGGAAUCUUGGGGGCUAUCUUAAAAUUCCACCCCCCACACUUGAAAUAGAAAGAAUUUCCCUAUUUACUUAUUUGUUUUAAUGUGUAUUUAUUUUUGAGAGAGAGAGAGAGAGAGAGAGCGAGCACACACACACGCUAGUGGGGGAGCGGCAGAGAG